CUGCUGCUGGGCUGGCUCUGGGGGCUCGGGGGUGGGAUGGGGUUUGAUGUCAGCCCUUGAGAACAGGAUCCCCCCCGCCGCUCCGCCUGAUCUUCCCCUGGAGCCAUCAACCAGGGCAGGGCCACGAUGGGCUUGGACAGCCAGAGCUGCUGUGAAACCCAGCUCGGCUCCCUGGCAGGGCAGGGGGAGCCUGAGCAGGGCUUUAACCCCUUGUGAGGGCCCCUGGAACAGCCUCAGCCCCCCUUGUUCCAGGGGUUUAACCUCUUGUGAGGGCCCCUGGAACGGCCUCUGCCCCACUGUCCCUGGGAUUUAACCCCUUGUGAGGGUCCUUUGAACAGCAGCAGCACCAGCCCCCUGUUCCAGGGGUUUAACCCCUUGUGAGGGUCCCUGGAGCCCAGGUAAAUCCUGGGAUUUCCCCUCCUCCACCCUGCACUGGUGAAGCUCUGCACAGGGAACACACAGAGCAGCUCCUCCCCAGCCCACAGCCCCCAAAAUCUGCUGAAAAUGUCCUAAAGGGGCCGGACUGCUGUUUCCCCACAGCCUGCUGCAGGGCCCGGGGUAUUCCCAGGGAAAUGAGUGCCUGGAAAGGAGAAAUUCCUGUGGAACACAAUGAAAUGUGUGCCUGGAAAGGAGAAAUUCCUGUGGAACACAGGGAAAUGUGUGCCUGGAAAGGAGAAAUUCCUGUGGAACACAAGGAAAUCAGAAUCUGGAAAGAAGAAAUUCCCAGCAGGAAUGAGGAGGUGAUCCCGACAAUCCCAGCCUGGCAUUGUCCAGAGGCUCCCGGAGCUGUGGCAGCCUUGGGAAUGCCAGCACUGCCUGGGGAGCCCGGGCAGUGCCCCUGCAGCCUCUGCUCAGAUUCCUGAUCCAUUCCAACCCUCCCGACACAGCUCCAGCCACCCUCAGGUUCGUUUUUCCACAUGAAUGAAUAAAUCUGUUCGGGAUGGAGCUGA